UUAAAAAAAAAAUGAAUGUCAAGUUCAAUUUGUUUUUAUGAAGAUGUUCUUUAUUAGCAAGCUUGUUGUACUUCGACACUAAGGCACAUUAGAGCACUAAAGCUAAUACAUGAGACAUGUUCUACAGCUUGCCUUGUACAACCAUAUAAAAACAAUUCGAUCACAGCGAAAAUUAACACAUUUGCACUAAACAUGCAUAGAUUUCAAUAAACAGUAGAGUAUCUAUGAUGAAAGCAUGUUUAAUACUGAUGCGUGUGUGUAUAUAAUGUGUGUAUUUAUAAUAUAGGAAUAUAUAAGUUUCCCGAAACAGAGAUGAAGUCAAUGGCCAUAUCAUUGGGAUUAAAACACCUUUAGACUAGGACUUGUUAGUCCUUGUCCAGGGAACUGCCCAACAACAUCUUUGAAGGGGAAGUAACCAAAGGUAACUGGCAUAAUGGUAGACCACAGUAAAAUGUACACAAGUGAUAAGACUGGCACAAAACAACCAAAUAUGACAUACUACAAUGAAACUCUCUAGUUAGUACGAUAUUACUAAUUUAUACUUAAGGUAUAAAAAGCUCUGGGUUUAUUACCCACACACAGAACUUGGCAUUUCAUUGAGUAAAACAUUAUUCUAAGUGCAUAGGAAAGUAUGUGCGUCAAACAUUAAUGCAAAUAAAUCUUCUAUGUGCCAAAACAGCAGCAACAACAAAGCUACUUAGCUACAUGUACAUAACUCCACUUCUAGUAGUGCUGCAGUUACUUCACUGAGGAUGUAAACUUCCAUAGAUGGGGUAGAGCUGUCAGUUUUCUUCAAUACAGUAAUACCUUUUGAAUUUCCUUUUAUUAUUUUGUUUUGAUAUUCGAAUAUUUGAAUAUCUAAUGCUUACAUGCAGCCUGUACAUGUACUACACUUCUCAGGCUUCUGCAUUGUCAAUGCCACUAUAAGCAGUGAGGUGGUUGUUGUUACACGUUCUGUCCACUGGAGGGACAACAUCAGCCUGGCCUUGAAGGGGAUCUACGGCACGGCGUGUUGCAUUUAUGGCACACAGCAACAAUAAAGCGGCUCUGUUGUAAAGGCUAAUGGUGCUCGGUUAGCACAAUGACAUGUUAGUUCCAUGAUUAAAAGAUCCUCUUUGUAAUCUUGUGUAAAAGUCUAUUACAUAACUAUUGCGACUUCAUGUUUGGCAUAAA